rnacentral:misc_RNA from 1 species
GGAAGAAGAAGACGUGAACAACCCAAUUCUAAGAAGAAAUAAAUUCUUCAUAAUGAAUAGAGAUGGACAACUACCCAGUCACUGCCAAAAAAAAAUAAUUACUAGCCAAAAACAAAUGAAGGUUAACAUUCCAGUUUUAAGUCAUUGUGCUCUCUUCUUGUACCAAAACAAAUAUAAAAGGUGUGACUAUCAUGAUUAUAGAUCAGAAUAUUGCCACUCGAUCACCUACAAUAAUCUAAGCAUGAAAGUGCAAAACUUUAAAUGUUAAGUCAUAUGAUUGUGACAAUCAUGAUUUGGAUAUUAUAUUUUGUGUGUUUGUGUGCAUGUAUAUGCAUGUUACUCAUUAUUGUGGCACAACAAGAAAUGCCAAAUUCUAACAGUGUAAGUAACAGGAAGGAUAAGGUUACAUAC